UACGGGGGGGGGCAAGCGUUGUUCGGAAUUACUGGGCGUAAAGGGCUCGUAGGUGGCCAACUAAGUCAUACGUGAAAUCCCUCGGCUUAACCGGGGAACUGCGUCUGAUACUGGAUGGCUUGAAUCCGGGAGAGGGAUGCAGAAUUCCAGGUGUAGCGGUGAAAUGCGUAGAUAUCUGGAGGAACACCGGUGGCGAAGGCGGCCAACUGGACGAAUACUGACGCUGAGACACGAAAGCGUGGGGAGCAAACAGG
rnacentral:rRNA from 1 species